AGUUCGAUCCUGCUCAGAUUGAACGCUGGCGGGAUGCUUUACACAUGCAAGUGAACGGCAGCACGACUUCGGUCUGGUGGCGAGUGGCGAACGGGUGAGUAAUGUAUCGGAACGUGCCUAGUAGCGGGGAUAACUACGCGAAAGCGGUAGCCAAUACCGCAUGCCUCCGGGGGAAAGCGGACCUUCGCUCCUGCACUAUUAGAGCGGCCGAUAUCGGAUUAGCUAGUUGGUGGGGUAACGGCUCACCACAAGGACAUCCGGUAGAAGCUGGUUUGAGAGGACGACCAGCCACACUGGGACUGUAUUAUCGCCCAGACUCCUACGGAGGCAGCAGGGGGAAUCUUUGGACAAUGGGGGAAACCCCUGAUCCAGCCAUCCCGCGUGUGCGAGCGAAGGCCUUCGGGUUGUAAAGCACUUUGGCAGGAAGAACGCUGCUGGAGCACACCCGUGCAACUGACGGUACCUGCAGAAUACAGCACCGGCUAACUACGUGCCAGCAGCCGCGGCGUAAUACUUAGGGUGCAAGCGUUAAUCGGAAUUACUGGGCGUAAAGCAGGCGGUUCGGAAAGAAAGAUGUGAAAUCCCACAACGUCUCGGAACUGCAUUUUUAAUCAUGCCUAGAGUGUGUCAGAGGGAGGUGGAAUUCCGCGUGUAUGUUAGAAAUGCAGAUGAUGCGAUGUCACCUGACAGCGAAGGCGCUCCGGGAUAACACUGACGCUCAUGCACGAAAGCGGGAAGUUACACAGGAUUAGAUAACCUGGUAGUCCACGCCCUAAACGAUGUCAACUAGCUGCUGGGGCCUUCGGGCCUUGCAGCGCAGCUAACGCGUGAAGUUGACCGCCUGGGAGUACAAGUCGCAAGAUUAAAACUCAAAGGAAUUGACGGGGACCCGCACAAGCGGUGGAUGAUGUGAUUAAUUCAUUUUAAAUGCGAAAACCUUACCUACCCUUGACAUGUCUGGAAUCCCGAAGAGAUUUGGGAGUGCUCGCAAGAGAACCGGAACACAGGUGCUGCAUGGCUGUCGUCAGCUCGUGUCGAGAUGUUGGGCAAGUCCCGCAACGAGCGCAACCUUUGCUGCCGAGCAUGCCGAAAGGGCACUCUAAUGAGACUGCCGGUGACAAACCGGAGGAAGGUGGGGAUGACGUCAAGUCCUCAUGGCCCUUAUGGGUAGGGCUUCACACGUCAUACAAUGGUCGGGACAGAGGUCGCCAACCCGCGGGGAGCCAACCCAGAAACCCGAUCAGUCCGGAUCGCAGUCUGCAACUCGACUGCGUGAAGUCGGAAUCGCCAGUAAUCGCGGAUCAGCAUGUCGCGGUGAAUACGUUCCCGGGUCUUGUACACACCGCCCGUCACACCAUGGGAGUGGGUUUUACCAGAAGCGCAGUUAGCCUAACCGGGCGAGGGCGAUUACCACGGUAGGAUUCAUGACUGGGGUGAAGUCGUAACAAGGUAG
rnacentral:rRNA from 1 species